UUGGUCACAUUAGAUGAACGCUUCAUAUAGUGAGAAAAGGCAUUCAUAUCUUGAUUGAGAGAGAGAUCCAACAAUAUAAUAUUAAAGAUGACCUUGGUGGACAUAAUCUUCAAUUAUGGUGGAGAAUGGAUUAAAAAACCAAAUGUCAUGUAUUUAAAGAAAAUAAUUGAUACUUGGACAGAUUAUGAUCCUGACCUCCUUUCCUUUAUUGAUAUAGUAAAUGAGUACACUAGAAAGUUUGGAUAUUUAGGUGUUCAACAACUUAUUGUUACAGUUCCCUCUGGUAACUACUAUGAGAUUAAGGCCCUUAACAUAUAUGCAGUAGAUGAAGGUGAGGAAUUAAUAAAAGUUCAUAAUAUUUCCCAACAUUCUGAGUCAUAUGUUGCAACAACUGAAGUUGGAACUGACUGUGAAAGUGAUAAUGAGAGUGAUGAUAAUCAUAUGUUGAGGUAGAGUAUGAUUCUGAUGACUUGAAUAGGAUUGCCUUUCAAAAAUAUAGGAUCAUUGAUGAAACGCUGCUAGAUUACAAGGACUUAUGCAUAGGUAUGAGCUUCAAGGAUAUACCCGCAGCUAGAUUAUGCAUUAACUUGUAUGCUCUUGUAAACAAAAGAAACUUGAAGCAGUUGAAAAGUGAUCCAUCAAGGUUGAGGUAUGAGCUAGUGUGUUGCAGGAUGUCAUUUUUCAUUACUUAUUUCUGGAGAUAAAGACAUGCCAGGGGUUAGAAUAAAAACCCUGAAAAAUACGCAUGAUUGGAACGAAGCGUUUGAAAAUGGAAGGGUUGAUCAUCUUACAAUAGCGUAUUAUUUCAAGUCUAUAGGAACAAAUUGCAACCUGUUAGAAGUGAAAAUUUUUGGAAGGUGGAUCCACAUCAAGCAAUAGAACCACCUGAAUUAGUGAAGGUGGUUGGCAGACCCAAAAUUAAAAGAGUCAGAAAAAAAGACGAGGCAAGUAAGAGGCAAGGCGAGAGGGCAAGUUCAAGAAAAGGAAGAGUUAUGACAUGCAACAAUUGCGGAGAGUCAAACCACAAUAGUAAAGGAUGUAAAAAGCUUGUCAAUACAAGGCCAAGGAAAAGGAGCAGGGAAUUAAUUGAUGAACCUGAAGAGAUAAACCUUACAGCACCCCAAUCAACCCAAGCAAGCCCAAUUGUGAACUUCAUGUCUACACCAAUAUUCAGGCAGCAUGCACCACAAUUUUCAGGUCCAAGACCGCAUUCCAAAUGAUACGCCAGAUUUUGAGUUAGCUGAAACUUCAAAGCAAAGAUCAAGCAAGCCAGAUGCUACUACAUUGCAACAUACCGUUCAUCCAGUUUUGACAAUCAACUUUCCAAAUCAUGAUCCAGAUCCUAAUAUAAGGCCAACGAUAGUGUCAGAAAGCACAAUAUUCCGAGCUAGGCAACAAGGACCAAUUCCUUCAGGAACAAGGAUUAUUAACUUUGUUGGUGAUCACAAUGGAGUGAGUGUCCCUUCAAAUCUUCCCGAAGUAGCUAUUCUAAUUGUCUUGUAUUAGCUAGAUAGUUUACAUGAAUGUAGUAUUUUGACGUUGGAACAUAUAAGCUGUAAUCCUUUAGAUUUAGAAGUCUAUUUUGAACUCUAAAUUAUAUUCCUUCAACUUUGUUUGAUGUAGUCAUUCAGCUGAUGGAUAGUCAAACCUCUCUCUAGAAGGCAACUAUUCUUUCUGUUUGCAUGUCUUUUAUUGUUUUCA